CUACAGUCAUGGAACUGGAGCUAAUGCUGCACCUGUGGCUAACACACGCCCUGCAGGACAUGGAGCAGAGGAGGGAAUUGCACGUUCAGAUGCAGAGCCAGGAGUUGUUAUUAGUUGUCCAAUAUGCAUGGAUUAUUACUCAGAGAUUGUGCAAAGCGGACGACUGAUGGUGGCAACUAUGUGUGGCCACAUGUUCUGCAGCGCGUGCCUCCCCGUUGCCCUGGAGACCACCGGCAUGUGCCCAACCUGCAGAGAGGAACUCGAUGCAGAAAUGUAUUUUCCAAUUUAUUUAUGAGAGUUUCCGCUGCUCAGGGCAGUCUCAGGUGCAUCUUGGAGAAGAGGAGGUGUAGAGGCCUGUUUCUUUAUGUAUAUAGUUCUUUUUGUACAUAGUUUCAUUUUUGGUGCGUUCAGUUAUAAAUAAAGUUUUGAUUGAUUUAAA